rnacentral:rRNA from 1 species
AUGCGGCCUGCGGUGAGUCCCGGCGGCGGAAGGAGGAUGUCCCCGGGCGAAGAGGCUCUGCGGUCGUUGAAGAGGCCGCGCCACCCCGUGGAUCCCGGCUCCGGCUCCGACCCCGGCUCCAGCUCCGGCUCGGAAUCCGACGGCGAUUUCGUCAGCGACUUGAGGCAGAUCGCGUGCCUGCUGCGGUUGAUCAAGGGCGGGCCCAACAAGGAUCGCCAGAAGAUGUGCGAGCAGAUCAUCGCCAGUGUUGCAGCCAAUAUUCAGACUAUGCUUGAAGAUACCAAGUCCAAGUUUGAGAAGGAAAGGCAGAACUUGCUGAAAGUAUUGUCAGGCACUUCGAAAGAGCAGUGUGAAAGUUCAUUGAACGAAGAGUACACCAAGCUUCAGGAAACAUAUGAAAUGUUCUGUGAAGAAAAUGAUGCACACUUACAAACCUUCAAAGACCUAUUCUCACAAGUUGAAGUUGAGAAAAAGAAACUGCUUGAGCAGUAUCAAUAUCAGAGGAAGGAGACGGCUACAUUGUCUGAACUUGGUGAAACCUUCUCAGAGAAGAUAACAAAUGCCAAACCAUCACCGAAAAGGAUGAAGCAGGAUGACAAGUCUUUUAUCAUCUUCCGCAAGUCGAUUGGUUCAUAUCUCGAGUGCGCAUCGGACGACGAUUUUGACCUUGAUGAUGAAUGA